rnacentral:lncRNA from 1 species
GAAAGAAGUAAACAAACAAAAAUACCGAACUAUCUUAUUCCUGUCAAAUGAAUUAAACAGAAGAAGAAGUAAUUUACAAAGACAAAUGAAAGAACACUAUAACACGUAAUCUAAAUGAUAAACAACGUCAAUACCAAAAAAGGUUGUCAUAAUUCAUAAUGGUUAUAUUCUUCAAACGACAACAAAUCUACUUCAACAACAUUUACGGCUCAUGUGCAACCUUCUAGUACAGAAACUUCGUUAUGAUAUCAUGUAAUUGAAGAGUUUUGAGUCCUCAGUUUGUAAUUUUGGAAUUUCGAUUUGUAAAUUUGUGUGGAAUUGAAAUGCUGCUCGUUUUCCGAAAAAUAGAGGUAUAUACAUACAUGAGUAUCAGUCCAUUGUUCUAAUGAUGGAUAACAUUAUUAUAUACUUUCAGAAAAUAGAAAAGAAUCAUCAGAAGUAUCUUUGGAAUCGGUUGUGUCUG